ensembl:ncRNA C49F8.6 ncRNA
AAGAUGAGAAAAGAGGAAGGAAAAAAAAAAUGAAACCACGUCACACUGUGGAACAAACAUAUGAUAAAGCAAAAGAGGAAAGUUCAGGUUUACAAAAGUAAAUGUCAACUUUGAA